GCGAGGAGAAGAGCUGGGUGGUCCAGGGGACGCACACGGCGCUGAUGGCCGAGUUCUGCUCCACACAGAUGUCCUUGUAAGGAGGCAGCAGCUCCAACUCUAUCAGCGCAAUGUCAUUCUCAUAUGUAGAGAUGUUGUACCUGGGGUGUAUUAUGAUCCUUUUAACAGGAACAAUGUCAGUUGUGUCCUGGGGAUUCACCUUCGUCCAUACAGAAAACUUUACCCGGAAAUAGGUGGGGUUUAUUCUGAAAGAAAAUCACUGGAUUUAGGUAUAGCAUGGUUAGGCUCCCUGUAGUACUGGCUUAAGGUCUAUGGUAGGGGACUAGAACCUGAAGUACUUUCUUUAGGUCUAAGGUAGGAGUCUAAGGUAGGAUUCUGAAACCUAUAGAACCGGCUUUAAGUCUAAGGCAUGGGUACUGAAGCUUUAGCACUGGCUUUAGGUCAAAGGUAGGUGUCUAGAACCUUUUGUACUGGCUUAAGGUCUAAUGCAGGGGUAGAUAACCUUAAGUACUGAGCUGAUGUUUCUGAGCAAACGUUGCUGUCAUCUGUGAGCAAGCAACUUGUAAGCAGAGACCAUCGGAUACAUUUGAACUGAUAAAUGUUGCAUAAUUACUUAAAUAUAGGUUGGUAUUUGAAAAUCAGCCUCUUCUGACAGCAUAGGUGGGCGUGUCCACCUAGAUAUAUGACGGAUAGAGGAGCAACGUUUGCUACAGUCCACUGGGUAGGCUGGUAGACUGAUCCAUCCAGCACACAUCUAAGUGGACACGCCCACUUGUGAUGUCAGAAUAG